AAUUCUUGGAGCGUAAUUUAUGUCCCUCUGGACAAUGUCGGCAUGUGGAACAUAAGAUCAGAAAACUGGGCUAGACAAUAUCUGGGACAGCAGUUUUAUCUCCGAGUGUACUCCCCUGUGAAUUCAAUAAGGGAUGAAUACCCGAUUCCAAAAAAUGCUCUUCUUUGUGGCCGUGCAAAAGGCCGUAGAACCAGGCCGCUCUGAUCCAUAUGUCUGCAGAGAACUUGUCACGAUAGGGUGACAAUUCG
rnacentral:misc_RNA from 1 species